rnacentral:rRNA from 1 species
AGUAACGCAUCGGAACGUGCCCGGUCGUGGGGGAUAACACUUCGAAAGAAGUGCUAAUACCGCAUACGAUCUGAGGAUGAAAGCGGGGGACCGUAAGGCCUCGCGCGAUCGGAGCGGCCGAUGUCAGAUUAGGUAGUUGGUGGGGUAAAGGCCUACCAAGCCGACGAUCUGUAGCUGGUCUGAGAGGACGACCAGCCACACUGGGACUGAGACACGGCCCAGACUCCUACGGGAGGCAGCAGUGGGGAAUUUUGGACAAUGGGCGCAAGCCUGAUCCAGCAAUGCCGCGUGCAGGAUGAAGGCCUUCGGGUUGUAAACUGCUUUUGUACGGAGCGAAAAGGCUCUCUCUAAUACAGGGGGCUGAUGACGGUACCGUAAGAAUAAGCACCGGCUA